GGAAGGUUGCCCGAGCGGUAAGGGGCCGGCUUGCUAAGCCGAGGCCGGCGCUCGCGCGCCGCGCGCGUUCGAUCCGCGCAUCUUCCGCCA
rnacentral:tRNA from 1 species